rfam:Populus trichocarpa scaffold_24_contig_53, whole genome shotgun sequence.
UCUAGAACUCGAGAUAUGAGCUGAACACCGAACAGUGUUUGGGCUGCAAGACAGAUUUAUACUUCUCUUUUAUUGCUAAGAUUUGAGCUUGAAAACGGUAGUUUUGAAUCUUAGACUCCUCAUGAAUGUUUUAGGACGAUGUCUUAGCUUUCUAUC